rnacentral:rRNA from 1 species
GACGAACCGUGCGAACGUUGUUCGGAAUCACUGGGCUUAAAGGGCGCGUAGGCGGCAGUUCAAGUCCGGGGUGAAAGCCCCCAGCUCAACUGGGGAAGGGCCUUGGAUACUGGAUUGCUCGAGGGAGGUAGGGGUCGAGGGAACUUCUGGUGGAGCGGUGAAAUGCGUUGAUAUCAGAAGGAACGCCGGUGGCGAAAGCGCUCGACUGGACCUUUACUGACGCUGAGGCGCGAAAGCUAGGGGAGCAAACGGG